UGGUGAAAUCCACAACUACAA
ensembl:piRNA 21ur-799 ncRNA